GCCGCCGGCCGGCCGCCGGUCUCCGGACCUUCUCCCGCCGGCCUUCCAUCUGUGGUGCAACUAGCUUCUCCACCGGUGUCUGGCAUUGGCGGCCUCGUCUCCUCCAACCAGAUCAACACGAAUUCCCACCACAGGCUGAUCUUUUUCCGAUUCUCGAGUCUCCACCACCGGCUGCUCUAUUUCUGAUUCUCAAGUCCGUAAAAUCAGCUGCUACUAUGCUACUCCGCCACCAGCUGAAAGCAACCAGGAAGGGAAAGCGCUGGAUGUGUCUAUUUAAUUCAACAUGUCGUUUAAUUGAGUAUGCAUUUGUUCUGCUCCAACCUGGCUCAUCUCUAUUAGCUCUUUGUUUGUUUAACUAACUGACUGCCUCGCAUGAUCAGAUGAUGUGUGACACUCUCUAUUGUCUAGGUGCAUGCAUUUGCGUGAACUUGUGAUAAUAUGCUAUUGUUAUGUUAUUGGUACUUUGUGAAACUUGUUAGACCCAAGGUAUUUAUGCUCGGUUGUUGUUUAUAAUUGUUAAUUUUUACAUAUAACAUCCGUGAAGUGUUAACUUUUUUUAUUGCAUCGAGCCUUCGAGCCGGCUUGCGAGCUUCAUCGAGCGGGCUUGUCGAGCCUCGAGCCUUCGUCGGAGGGUUUAGGCUUGGCUUGCCUGACCUUCAAGCCGAGUCGAGCCCGAGCCAAGCCCUGUCGAGCCCGAGCCGAGCCUCGAGCCUUGAGCUUUGUGUCCACCCCUACAUUCAACCUCAGGCCCGAUGGCGGAGCUCGAUGGCCUAGUUGAAGGAUCUGGGGACCUCGCCGCCUCCUUCCAUGAGUGUUGCCUGCAAGGAAUCGAGGAAGGGUUCGGUUGGAGGCAGGUCUCGAUGCCUCCAUCGGCCACGCCGUCGGUGCGUCCCCUCCCUCCUAUGUUCCCUCUCCGCAGCCCCCGCUGUCCGGCCGCCGCCUGAUCACGUCGACUCCAUCCUCUCCAAGGUUAUCCAACUCUCGGAACCUUCCUUCCCUGGUGUGCUAGAAGCUAUUCAUUCCGUGGUACAUUGUCUGGCAGCUCCUGGCAGUGUCUGGUAACGUGAGGCCAUUCUGUGGUGACAAUUGUCAUGUUCAGAAUUGUGAAGCUUUUGCCGAGUCCGUUGUCGUCUCCCUGGGGGCAUGGAAAUGUUCUGGCUGUUCAUAUCGCCUGUGGUCGCAUACGGGAAAGAGAAAGUCUGUGGACUAUAGUACCUGAGCUCUUGUUCUCUGUCUUCACAAAAGCUUGUGGCAGUCGAGAGUUACCUGUGAGUGGCGGGUAGUACCUGUGAAUUUACUAGGUGGUGUCUCCUUGUGAUGAGCAUAUGUUCUGAUAGUUUCUAGCAAUCAACCUCUGUGACUCUUUUGUCAUCUGUAAAAUUUGGUUAUCAUAACCUCUGGUUGUAUCAGACUGUAUAUAGUUGAAUUACAUUAUCAGCUAUCUGUAUUGUAACUUGAAGUUUGUGUUAUCACCGG